UGGUGGAGUGAUUUGUCUGGUUAAUUCCGUUAACGAACGAGACCUCGACCUGCUAAAUAGUUCAGCGAGCUCUUCGGGGCUGGACUGUAACUUCUUAGAGGGACUAUCGGUGGUUAGCCGAUGGAAGUUCGAGGCAAUAACA
rnacentral:rRNA from 1 species